GACGAACGCUGGCGGCGUGCUUAACACAUGCAAGUCGAGCGGUAAGGCCCUUCGGGUACACGAGCGGCGAACGGGUGAGUAACACGUGGGUGACCUGCCCUUAGCUCUGGGAUAAGCCUGGGAAACUGGGUCUAAUACCGGAUAUGACCUCAUGACGCAUGUUGUGGGGUGGAAAGCCUUGUGCGGCUAGGGAUGGGCCCGCGGCCUAUCAGCUUGUUGGUGGGGUGAUGGCCACCAAGGCGACGACGGGUAGCCGGCCUGAGAGGGCGACCGGCCACACUGGGACUGAGACACGGCCCAGACUCCUACGGGAGGGCAGCAGUGGGGAAUCUUGCGCAAUGGGCGAAAGCCUGACGCAGCGACGCCGCGUGAGGGAUGAC
rnacentral:rRNA from 1 species